UGGGGAAUCUUCCGCAAUGGACGAAAGUCUGACGGAGCAACGCCGCGUGAGUGAUGACGGCCUUCGGGUUGUAAAGCUCUGUUAAUCGGGACGAAAGGCCUUCUUGCGAAUAGUGAGAAGGAUUGACGGUACCGGAAUAGAAAGCCACGGCUAACUACGUGCCAGCAGCCGCGGUAAUACGUAGGUGGCAAGCGUUGUCCGGAAUUAUUGGGCGUAAAGCGCGCGCAGGCGGAUAGGUCAGUCUGUCUUAAAAGUUCGGGGCUUAACCCCGUGAUGGGAUGGAAACUGCCAAUCUAGAGUAUCGGAGAGGAAAGUGGAAUUCCUAGUGUAGCGGUGAAAUGCGUAGAUAUUAGGAAGAACACCAGUGGCGAAGGCGACUUUCUGGACGAAAACUGACGCUGAGGCGCGAAAGCCAGGGGAGCGAACGGG
rnacentral:rRNA from 2 species